AUUGAACGCUGGCGGCAGGCCUAACACAUGCAAGUCGAGCGGAUGAAGGGAGCUUGCUCCUGGAUUCAGCGGCGGACGGGUGAGUAAUGCCUAGGAAUCUGCCUGGUAGUGGGGGAUAACGUCCGGAAACGGGCGCUAAUACCGCAUACGUCCUGAGGGAGAAAGUGGGGGAUCUUCGGACCUCACGCUAUCAGAUGAGCCUAGGUCGGAUUAGCUAGUUGGUGGGGUAAAGGCCUACCAAGGCGACGAUCCGUAACUGGUCUGAGAGGAUGAUCAGUCACACUGGAACUGAGACACGGUCCAGACCCCUAGGGGAGGCAGCAGUGGGGAAUUUUGGACAAUGGGGGAAACCCUGAUCCAGCCAUGCCGGGGGGGUGAAGAAGGUCUUCGGAUUGUAAAGCACUUUAAGUUGGGAGGAAGGGCAGUAAGUUAAUACCUUGCUGUUUUGACGUUACCAACAAAAAAAGCACCGGCUAACUUCGU
rnacentral:rRNA from 1 species